rnacentral:rRNA from 1 species
UUGUAAGCUACAAAGGGCGUGCGGUGGAUGCCUAGGCGCUGAGAGGCGAUGAAGGACGUGGGUGGCUGCGAAAUUUUCCGGGGAGUUGCCAACCGAACAUUGAUCCGGAAGUGUCCGAAUGGGGAAACCCGGCGGGUG